AAUCAACGCUGGCGGCGUGCCUAACACAUGCAAGUCGAACGCGAAAGGGGCUUCGGUCCUGAGUAGAGUGGCGUCCGGGUGAGUAACGCGUGGGUAAUCUACCUUUGGGUGGGGAAUAACUAGUCGAAAGGCUAGCUAAUACCGCAUAAUGCAAUUUUCUGCUAGAAUUUUGUUAAAGCAGUAAUGUGCCUAAAGAUGAGCCUGCGUCUGAUUAGUUUGUUGGUAGGGUAAUGGCCUACCAAGACUACUAUCAGUAGCUGGUCUGAGAGGACGGCCAGCCACAAUGGCACUGAAACACGGGCCAUACUCCUACGGGAGGCAGCAGUGGGGAAUAUUGGACAAUGGGGGCAACCCUGAUCCAGCCAUGCCGCGUGAGUGAAGAAGGCCCUCGGGUUGUAAAGCUCUUUUGUCCGGAAAGAAAAGCAAUCGGUUAAUACCCGGUUGUUCUGACGGUACCGGAAGAAUAAGCACCGGCUAACUUCGUGCCAGCAGCCGCGGUAAAGUGACGCUCCU
rnacentral:rRNA from 1 species